GUGCAACACCGGAGGCGCGUCGUUUAGAAACAGGCGCGUUUGUGUGGUUCAGUGACUCAGGAACAUGUUGGGGCAAGUACCAACGUCAAAAACUUUGAAAUAGCUGUUUAUAUGUAUUUAACUGUAUAAACCUCCACAUUAAGUUAUCGUCUUUAGGCGUUUAUCGUGUGAAGGUCGACAGAAUGUUUAUUCGUAAUCAUGUGACGUCUGUAGUUGCCAUCAUGUACCAGUGCACCUCCCUCCCUAUGAGAAACUUCUCUGUCUGCCGAUACCUAAGCUCCCCAAAAAGACGCAGCUCAUACAGUUUAGUAGACAGUGAGCGGUACUCCUCUCUCGUAAAGUCGGUCAUGUCCUCCAAAGUCAGCUCCCAAACUCCAGAGACUCUACUUGCGGAAGAUGAGCACAUCUAUGGACGCAUAGUCAAGGCUCAUAUACCCCCCACAGUGUCCGAGAUGAGGGAACCUAAAUCCCUCCAUCCGUUCUUGCUUCAUGAAAAGACUGAAGAAACAGACGAGGCAGAGUCAGCACCUCCACUACGGAUCAUUCUAAAAAGGGGUCAAGACAGGGCUUCCAUACCGAGUGUGACGCGUGUUCUUCAGCAGACGCUUUCCUCGGAACAGAUCUUUUAUCUGGAGAGAUGGAAGAAGAAAAUGAUUGCGGAACUUGGAGAAGAUGGCUUCAAGGAGUACAGUCAAAACUUAUUUAGGCAAGGGAAACGUUUCCAUACAGCACUGGAUGACAUUCUGAUGUCAGAUGCAACACAGAAGGACGAAUAUGCUUCGGACACACUAGAGCUUCCUCCUGAAAUUCAGGGUUACGUGGAGAGCAUCUCUCACAUACUGGAAGAUGUUAGUGCUGUGAGAGCUAUUGAAAGCACUGUACAACAUGACACCUUAAAGUAUCUGGGAAUUGUGGAUUGUGUUGCUCGCUACAGAGGUGUACUUUGUGUUAUUGACUGGAAGACGUCAGAAAAGCCAAAGCCAUUCCUGAGCAACACGUACGACAACCCCAUUCAAGUGGCAGCCUAUGCUGGGGCUCUGAACAACGACGGCAACUACAAAUACCAGGUUGAACAUGGACUCAUUGUAGUGGCCUAUAAGGAUGGCUCACCAGCACACGCUCAUAAGUUGAGCUCAGAGCUGAUGCUGCAGUACUGGAACAUUUGGUUGCAACGUCUUGAGAAGUUUACAGAACUGAGUUCCAGUCACGUGUCAAGUGCCUUCUCGCAAAAGAAAUGAGAUGUUGAAGAGAGUUCUGUAAGUACAUAUCAAAGAAGGCUCUGAACCCAAAGGAAAAAUACAGUAUAACUAUGCUUACCAUGCUGUAGGAUGUCAACACUUAUCUCGCCCCUUUUCUGUGCUACAAAAGAUAAAUUAUUAUGGUGAGGUGCUACACGAGGAUCCAGGAGAAGAUGGAGGUGCCCAAUACUAAAACUCAAGUCAAAAUCCCAAGCAUGGAUUAUAUAACUACACACGUGCCACAGUCCCCAGGUGAUAUACCUUAUGCUCAAGAUUAAAAUGUCUUUAAAAUAUCAGUAGUGGUGAUCAACCUUUUACAUGACAUACCCAAAUAUCAGCUACACAUUCCUAGUAAUUGAAUUGAAUCCACCCUGCCCUGUAUGAGGGAUCCUCAGUGAAGCCAAGGUUUUUAAAGAGCCUGUAGGAAAUGAUGUUGUCUUCCUCGAUAAAGCAGAAGACUGGGUGGCCCUCAGCACGGAGUCUUUUUGCCAUAGUGCUGACAAGAACUUUGGCAUACCCUUUCCCUCUGUGCUCUGGCACAGUGUACAACAGGCCCAUGGCACAGUACUCGUACAACAGAAUCCAGGACACCGGCUGAUCUUGUCCGUCAGUGAUGCAGUACGACGGAUAAUUGCUAAUGAAAUGUUUAACGGUGUUGUAACUCUGCUCAUUCCCUCCAAACUUCCAUGUUUUAUUCACCAAGUCAACAUGGGAAAUGUCAAGGGAGGAAAUCCUUGAUUCAAGAUCACUGCAGGGAAAGAGAAAUUUAUGAUAGCAUUAACUGAUUAGGAAAACUUCUACUUUCAUAUACAGAUUUAAGUGAAAAAUCUUUAAAGUAUACUGAAGUUUUAAGAGCGUACUUAUCAACUGUUGGUGUGAGAAGAUGGCUGCUGUCUGCCAAAUACACAAGGCGACCCACAGACUUGUAUCUAAACUUAACAUCUCUCACAGAAGACACUUCUUUAAGUAUGGGUAUUUGGGACAAGUCAAAUCCUGAAGUAAAAAAAGAAAGAUUUGAAACCAUGUACCAUAUUAUGAGCUAAAUAUACUUCAAAUAACAAAAGUGAAAGUAUCCACUACAGAAAAAACUUAAACAUGCUUGUGGCAUAUUCUUACUGUGAUAAUAAAUGUGUUUUUAAGACUGU